rnacentral:rRNA from 1 species
AUUGAACGCUGGCGGCAGGCCUAACACAUGCAAGUCGAACGAGUGGCGGACGGGUGAGUAAUGUCUGGGAAACUGCCUGAUGGAGGGGGAUAACUACUGGAAACGGUAGCUAAUACCGCAUACCAUCAGAUGUGCCCAGAUGGGAUUAGCUGGUUGGUGGGGUAACGGCUCACCAAGGCGACGAUCCCUAGCUGGUCGGGGAGGAUGACCAGCAACACUGGAACUGAGACACGGUCCAGACUCCUACGGAAGGCAGAAGUGGGGAAGAUUGCACAAUGGGCGCAAGCUGGAGGCAGCCAUGCCGCGUGUAUGAAGAAGGCCUGCGGGUUGUAAAGUACUUUCAGCGGUGAGGCGUUACCCGCAGAAGAAGCACCGGCUAACUCCGUGCCAGCAGCCGCGGUAAUUC